UGAGGCCUGUGGGGAAAAAUAUGGUAUACCUAGGUUUGAAAUACUCUUUUUAAAGGAUCUAUGAAGAAAUAUUUUGAAGUUAAUUGAGGCCCAUGGAAAAAAUAAACGAAUAUCUUCAGAUUGGAAAAACUCUUUUUGGAGAAUUUGUGAAGGGACUUUUUGGAGUCCACUGAGCUGUUGAAUAACUGAAUAUCCCCAGAAAAACAGUGGAAUCUAUCUGUGAAACUGCUUUGUGAUGUGUGGAUUCAUCUC
rnacentral:lncRNA from 1 species